rnacentral:rRNA from 1 species
AACGAACGCUGGCGGCAUGCCUAAUACAUGCAAGUCGAACGCUGAAACACUCUGCUUGCAGAGUGUGGAUGAGUGGCGAACGGGUGAGUAACACGUGGGGAACCUGCCCAUAAGAGGGGGAUAACAUCCGGAAACGGGUGCUAAUACCGCAUAGGUGAUCGUAGCGCAUGCUUAGACCAUUAAAGAUGGCUUCGGCUAUCGCUUAUGGAUGGCCCCGCGGCGUAUUAGCUAGUUGGUGAGGUAAUGGCUCACCAAGGCUGUGAUACGUAGCCGACCUGAGAGGGUGAUCGGCCACACUGGAACUGAGACACGGUCCAG